GAUGAACGCUGGCGGCGUGCCUAAUACAUGCAAGUAGAACGCUGAAGCUUGGUGCUUGCACCGAGCGGAUGAGUUGCGAACGGGUGAGUAACGCGUAGGUAACCUGCCUGGUAGCGGGGGAUAACUAUUGGAAACGAUAGCUAAUACCGCAUAACAGUCGACAUUGCAUGAUGUUGAUUUGAAAGGGGCAAAUGCUCCACUACCAGAUGGACCUGCGUUGUAUUAGCUAGUUGGUGAGGUAACGGCUCACCAAGGCGACGAUACAUAGCCGACCUGAGAGGGUGAUCGGCCACACUGGGACUGAGACACGGCCCAGACUCCUACGGGAGGCAGCAGUAGGGAAUCUUCGGCAAUGGGGGCAACCCUGACCGAGCAACGCCGCGUGAGUGAAGAAGGUUUUCGGAUCGUAAAGCUCUGUUGUAAGAGAAGAACGAGUGUGAGAGUGGAAAGUUCACACUGUGACGGUAACUUACCAGAAAGGGACGGCUAACUACGUGCCAGCAGCCGCGGUAAUACGUAGGUCCCGAGCGUUAUCCGGAUUUAUUGGGCGUAAAGCGAGCGCAGGCGGUUAGAUAAGUCUGAAGUUAAAGGCUGUGGCUUAACCAUAGUACGCUUUGGAAACUGUUUAACUUGAGUGCAGAAGGGGAGAGUGGAAUUCCAUGUGUAGCGGUGAAAUGCGUAGAUAUAUGGAGGAACACCGGUGGCGAAAGCGGCUCUCUGGUCUGUAACUGACGCUGAGGCUCGAAAGCGUGGGGAGCAAACAGG
rnacentral:rRNA from 1 species